CGGCAGGCAGUGGGCAUUGGCGAGCCCAAGUGGCUGUAAACCACCCGCCUUGGCUGUGCUGGUUCGAGUCCAGCCCUGCCGACUA
rnacentral:tRNA from 1 species